rnacentral:rRNA from 1 species
CGGACGGGUGAGUAACACGUGGAUAACCUACCUAUAAGACUGGGAUAACUUCGGGAAACCGGAGCUAAUACCGGAUAAUAUAUUGAACCGCAUGGUUCAAUAGUGAAAGACGGUUUUGCUGUCACUUAUAGAUGGAUCCGCGCCGCAUUAGCUAGUUGGUAAGGUAACGGCUUACCAAGGCAACGAUGCGUAGCCGACCUGAGAGGGUGAUCGGCCACACUGGAACUGAGACACGGUCCANACUCCUACGGGAGGCAGCAGAC